rnacentral:lncRNA from 1 species
CAUUUCUUGGGCUGCUCCCGCAGCAUAUGGAGGUUCCCAGGCUAGGGGUCUAAUCGGAGCUGUAGCCACCGGCCUACUCCAGAGCCACAGCAACGCGGGAUCCGAGCUGAGCCGAGUCUGCGACCUAUACCACAGCUCACGGCAACGCCUGAUCCUUGACCCACUGAGCAAGGCCAGGGAUCGAACCUGCAACCUGAACUUUAAGUUUCUUGAAAGCUUUUUUCUCUUUUAUCUCAUACCACACGCUACUCCUCUGUAUUCAAUAAAUAUUUGUGAAACUGAAUCAAACAGAAGUUUUCCAUAUUCUGUCUUACCUAAUGUGAUUCUGAGAACAAACUAGAAAUUAAGCCUUCAAAUGUCCUACAAUUUUGUUUUAUUUCUUUCACUCAUUUUAACACAACCUUUUUCAAACAAAAUAUGCUAGUGCCUAAUGUGCAAAAUGGAUAUACAUUUAUAAAUUCAAAUUUCUAAAAUUUAAUAAUAAAGUCAACCAAUGAGAAACUAUGUUCAUCGAUCGUAGUAUUUAAUAUAACAAAAUUAGUUAUUUUUAAUAUGUGAAUGUAAUUGUUCUUUUAGUUUUUUGACAACUAAAAAUUAAAUUCAAAUUAAAUGUUAAGAGAAGAGGUCAGCAAACUAAUAAGGCCCAUGGGCUAAACCCUGCCUACCACCUAGUUUUGAAUGGCCCUUGAUCUAAGAAUGUUUUUUUACAGUUUUUAAGAGUUGGAAAAAAGAAGAAUAUUAACAUGUGAAAAUUAAUAAAAUUCAUUUCCAUGUCCACAAAUAAAGUUUUAUUGGAACACAUCCAUACUCAUUUGUUUAUGGCCACUUCUGUGCUACAAUAGCAGAGCUGUAUAGUUGCAAAAGAGACUGAAUGGUCCAUAAAUUUAAAGGAUUCACAUCUGGCUUUUUAUAGAAAAGAGUGGUUUGCAGACCACUGAUUUACAAAUCCCCAAAGCACCAACUUCAUGGUGUAGAGUUUGGAAAUUAACUGCGACAAACUAUUUUCCAAAGACAGCCACUACAAUAUUUUCUGUUCUACUUGCUCUUCUACAGUUUCACUCUUGCCACUCCCUCACCAAGAAGAGUCUAAAUCUCUUCCCUUUGAGUCUGGGCUCAUCUUAGCGACUUGCUUGGCCAAUAUAAUGUGGUAGAAGUGACUUCCAAGGCUUCCAAGAUUAGGUCACAAGAAAUCUUGCAGCUUCUUCCUAGUUUUCUUGGAUGCUCUGUCAUGGGUCGCUUCCUCUGAGAACCUAGGCCAUGAUGUGAUAAACGUGACCUCCAUGGAGAGGCUAAAUAUAUGCAUUUCUUCCUACAACCCAAGCUAAGCCCCAAGUCAACAGCCUACCUCAACUGACAUCCAUGUGGGCGAGCUAUCCUGGACCUCAAACUCAGAUGAGCCUUUAGAUGACUGCAACCGCAUAAGAAACUCUACAUGAGAACAACCAGAGGCUCCAACCAGUCAAUUUAUAGAACUGUGAAAUAUAAUAAUAAGUGCUUAUUUUAAGCCACUAUAUUUUGGAGUAGUUUGUUAUAUAGCAAUAGAUAACUGAAACACCAUUAUACUAAAACAAAUCUAGGAAAGUUUCAGAUAAGAAAUUCUAGACUUCUGAGUCAAGCCUAUGCUUGGACUACUCAUGUGUAUAAUAACCAAGCCAAACACUAUUAAAGCUUACUGCUAAGCCUAUGUGUUCUAAUAGCCACUGGUGAAGAAGUGGUAAAUAAUACUCUAAUGGAGUCACUGUGGUUUCUUAAUCUGCAUGCAUUCCAAUCAGACUCACCAUUCCCCAAAACAGGCCAACAAGCUUGAAUCUUACUCUGUAAUUCUCACAAAGAAAUAUAAAAUAAUUUUUCUAAUUUCUAAAAUGGCAUCAGGACGGACAAAUAAAUACUUCUCAAUUUUCAUGCUUAAAUGAACUGAUGGUUAUACCUUAUUGUUUUUACCUAAUAACAUUAAAAAAUGAUAAGUGAACUUAGAUGAGAUACAGUUAAGUUACCGGUAUAUAGCAAAGUAUCAGUAAAUGGUAGUUUACCUCUAACAAAUUUGGGCUUAGUAAUAAAGUCCACAUUGUCACCUACUCCUGCACUGAAGAGUGACAGGUAAGAGUUGUUCAUGACAUAUUUCUAAUAUGUGCCAAUUAUGUAAUAAAAUCCUUAGCUGGAAAAUUUUAAACUCAGUAAUCAAUCCCUAUAAAGCCCACACAUUAUAUUUUCAGUAUUAAAUUAAGCCCCAGUUUAAGGUAACUUUUAAAGAAUGAGUGCUUAGUAUAUGUUUUGUACACUGCUACACUCUGGGGUUGUAUCUUCAAAUUGAUACAUUUUACAAUUACACCUUCAAUCGGUGUAAAUUUUAUUCAAAAGAGAGUAGUGUCUGAAUUAUUUUGACAUUACUGAGAAUCAUAAUGUGACACAGAAUGGUAAAUUUGUUUUAUAUCAAAAUGGAGAUUACCAGAACACUUAAGAUUCCUAUUUUUUUUCUUAAUUUAGUAAUUGUUUUCAUGUUUAUUUAAAUAUUUAUUUAUAUAACCAUUAUUCAUACCAGCAUAUAAAACACUUCCACAGAUAAGGGUUUUAAGAGGAAAACAUUUCAACCCUUAGUGGCUUACAGCAAUCCUACAAAAGUGCUACAACCAAUUAGUGAUGCCUAUCACAGGGGUGACUGCUGGAGAGAAAUACUCUGGGCAUUUGCCAGCCCUUACCUAUUUCAUCCAGUUUCAUGCAGUCUCCUCCCUUCAGAUCUCCUACUGGGUCCCUUCAAUGAUCCCCAUGAUGGAACUUCCACCCAGUCUUUGGACGUGACUUUCCCUUUCUUCUGCCAGUUUUUCCCACUUCUGGAGUCUAAUAUCCACAAUGACCCUGGUAAGUCAUUACUCUGGUGCACAUGUCCUAGCCCAAAAAGGCAGAUUCCCCUAACAUCAAGAGUUCAUUGGAUAAGCCACUCUUUGAGCCAGAAGAGCUUAGAUGUACCAUGGUAGAACAUGGCAGAGCCAUGACUUGCAUCCAGGCAUAGAGCACCAGAGUCCCUGCACUUAGUCACUGCAUCCGGCACAAGGCUGCUGCUAUUUCUACAACAUGUAUUAAACUAUAUUGUCUUUGAUUUCACAAUUAUUUGAAUCUAUUAUUAAUACAAGCAAAAUCUCUACAGAGAAAAUAUUAUAAUUUACUAUUCUAGCCCAGCAAAUGAGACCACAUUUCAGGACUUUUAAAUAAUUCAAAACUGGUAUUUCCUAAUUAAAAACACACUAAUAAGCAUGUUAAUGAGUGUUUUACACUUACUAGGGGAAAAAAAUGGUGGGAUUAAACACACUUUGAAAAGCAAUUUAAAAUGACCAUGCAAUUCAUAUUCUUGUGUUCCACGUGGUCUUACAUUGAAAGUUUAAUAGUAUUUUAAUACAAUUGAAUGUGGUAACUACGAUUAAUGUUAAAAAUACACAUAAUCAGUGACUCUUCCAACUCACAAUCCACAACAAUUCUAUUCACAUCCUGUGUAACUCCAUGGGGAUUCUAUGAGGAAAGUUUCCAUAUAUGGUAAUUUUUCCCCGUAGACUCCCCACAGUUUAUACAGGAUAUGAAUCUGGUCCAUUGUGACAAUGAAAACAAGAAUCACUGAAAACUCAUGUGUAAUUUCUGCUGAACAAACCAGACUAACAAUUAGGGAAAUAAAUACUCAAGUGAAAAUAAGUAAUCUGACAAUUUUAAAGUAAUCACUGAGUAUUUUUAUUCCACUUCGGUACUAGCAGAAUUAGUGUAUAAAUAUCUAGAAGAAAAAAAGUCUUAUCUUUAUUUAGUUUCAAAAUAUUGCCUUGAUAUUAAAAAAUACUAUGUCAACUAUUAACAGGCAAGAAAGUCAAAAGCAAAUUUCACAUCAGAACUUACAGGGUCAGAAGGAAAGAAAAAAUAUAGUAAGACAACUCAAAAAUGUUAUAUAAGCUUUAGUUUCCCAGGCUUCUGUAUGACCAUGCCCCAAUGUAAAUCUCUGUGGAAUAUAAUUAUUUUUCCAUAUUUGUGACUUUUAGCAGUGUGUGGUGUUUUAUUUAUCUAAAGUCAUGUAACAAUAUUUCUUAUUCAAUGUUCUAAGUGCAGAGUUAGGGUUCAGAAUUAGUUUCUGUGUAUAUAUUUAAGUACUUGUAUUUUGCUUUAAGUAAGAUGAAAGCAUCUAAAAUUCAAUACAGCUAAAUACUAACAGCCAGAUUAAAGAUGUAGGAAAGGAAAAUGGCUGUGUUUCUAAAUCACCUAGUUUCAUAUGACAAAAACCAAUAAAAGGGAAAAAAUAUAGUACUAAAAUGUCAAACAUAAUAACAGUAAAAACAUCAGUCUCAUACAAUCAUUUAACAAGAACCACGGCUUAUAUUGCACAAGGGUCCAGUUGUGAAUAGCCAUUUUUGAAUGACCAUACUUGCUAUUAACAUCUCAACAGAUUCACAGAAAUUACACUGAAACAAUAGACCCAAGUUUGAUCUCACAUAUGAUUGGUUGUCAGGAAUGGUCCUGAAAUGCACAUAAAAAGGGAGUGUGACUCACUUAUUUCUCUAUCAAAGAGGUGCCUAUUUAAUUAUAUAGUUUCUUGAUGACCUAAUAUUCGUCGAGUAUAUUCAUUUAACUAUCUUCCACACAAUGGCUCUAAAUUUGAGAUAAUUACAUUGUUCUUUGAAACAUGGUACCAUACUCACUAUUAAAUCUGAGAAGCUGUCAGUUCCAAAUUAAUGCAUUCAUCAGUAAUGAAAAUAAAAAGCAACAGCUGUACUUUCGGUACCCAUCGAAGAACAUCAUAUGGGGCAUCACAAAUAUCCCAAAUCCUCAGCAUCUAGCUACCUACCCAAGGUGAUGUGGGCAUGCAGAGAAUGGCAGGGAAGACUCAUGGUCCAGUCAUACCAGAGUGUAAAAGACUACUGCUCUCUUGGGACUUGGGUGAAUUCCCUCUCCUUUUCACAGGUAGAUGAGGUGUUCUUUUUAAUAUAUUACGACUGUAACAAAAUGUUGGGAGGAGGGAUUAAAUGACACUAUUUGCCCCAAGGGCACAUUGUUUCUCAGAAGGUAAGAUGUUGCUCUCUUCACUGGACUAAUAAGGCAGGUGCUUUGGAAGACACAUUAAUGUGUUAAAUCAGGGCACAAUUCCCACCACAGUACAUCUUAAAUGGUACCCUUGAGGCCUGAAAAAGUUAAACAUGGGAGAGGGGACAGGAAGAGGACUGAGCUGGAUAAAUGUUAACUGAAUAAAUGU